rnacentral:rRNA from 1 species
UACGGAGGGCCCAAGCGUUAUCCGGAAUCAUUGGGCUUAAAGGGUUCGUAGGCGGUUUAGCAAGUCAGCGGUGAAAGCCCAUCGCUCAACGGUGGAACGGCCAUUGAUACUGCUAAACUUGAAUUAUUGGGAAGUAACUAGAAUAUGUAGUGUAGCGGUGAAAUGCUUAGAGAUUACAUGGAAUACCAAUUGCGAAGGCAGGUUACUGGGAAUAUAUUGACGCUGAUGGACGAAAGCGUGGGGAGCGAACAGG